rnacentral:rRNA from 3 species
UCCAUCCUGGACCUCAGCUCAGGCGUGACUACCCGCUGAAUUUAAGCAUAUCAAUAAGCGGAGGAAAAGAAACUAACCAGG